UACGGAGGAUGCGAGCGUUAUCCGGAUUUGUUGGGUUUAAAGGGUGCGUAGGCGGACUGUCAAGUCAGCGGUAAAAUUGAGAGGCUCAACCUCUUCCCGCCGUUGAAACUGGUGGUCUUGAGUGGAUGAGAAGUACGCGGAAUGCGUGGUGUAGCGGUGAAAUGCAUAGAUAUCACGCAGAACCCCGAUUGCGAAGGCAGCAUGCCGGCUUCCUACUGACGCUGAAGCACGAAAGCGUGGGGAUCGAACAGG
rnacentral:rRNA from 1 species